rnacentral:rRNA from 1 species
UGCGUGAAUUAAUGUGAAUUGCAGGACACAUUGAACAUCGAUAUCUUGAACGCAUAUUGCGGCCUCGGGUAGUCCCGAGGCCACGCCUGUCUCAGGGUCGGUUACAAGUCAAUCGCGAAGCCGCUCUCCGCUCGCGCAUUGGGCGUCACAGUUGGCCGAAGCCGGUCUCGCGAUCGGUCACGUCGACUCUGUCGCCUCAAGUCCAGACGGGUUGCCCGGCCGCUAACGUUGGCUCGGGGCGGUGACUCGACUCUCGAAGAGCUUUCCGCAUCUCCCGCAGUCCGUUGGCGGCGUAGUCGACAGCCGAACAUUUCUUAAACGACUUCGACCUGAGAUCAGACGAGAUUACCCGCUGAAUUUAA